AUUAUUACAGGUACAGUUGGUGACUUGUUGGUGACUUGUUAGUGACUUGUGAUCCUGUUGGUGACUAUUGGUUCAGAAUUUUGGGGUCUCAGAUGACUUUGGGUUUCAGAUGAAUUUAUGGUUCCGAGUUCAAGCCGAAGUUUUGAUCCUGUGUUCCGAGAGACACAGCCAACCAGUCAUGUCUGCAUCAUUUGCAUCAUAAGCAUAUUUAUUUUUCAAAAGAAACGCAAUAAAAAA
rnacentral:lncRNA from 1 species